CCUACGGGUGGCAGCAGUGGGGAAUAUUGCACAAUGGGGGAAACCCUGAUGCAGCAACGCCGCGUGAGUGAAGAAGUAUUUCUGUAUGUAAAGCUCUAUCAGCCGGGGAGAAGAUGACGGUACCUGACCACUACGCCCCGGCUACCUACGUGCCAGCCGCCGCGGUAAUACGUAGGGGGCAAGCGUUAUCCGGAUUUACUGGGUGUAAAGGGAGCGCAGACGGCAGUGCAAGUCUGGAGUGAAAGCCCGGGGCCCAACCCCGGAACUGCUCUGGAAACUGGGCGGCUAGAGUAAUGGAGGGGCAGGCGGAAUGCGUAGUGUAGCGGUGAAAUGCGUAGAUAUUAGGAGGAACACCAGUGGCGAAGGCGGCCUGCUGGACAGUAACUGACGUUGAGGCUCGAAAGCGUGGGGAGCAAACAGGAUUAGAUACCCCUGUAGUC
rnacentral:rRNA from 1 species